rnacentral:rRNA from 1 species
UACAGAGACUGCAAGCGUUAUUCGGAUUCACUGGGCGUAAAGGGUGCGCAGGCGGCCGAGUGUGUGAGGCGUGAAAGCCCGGGGCUUAACCCCGGAAUUGCACCUCAAACUACACGGCUAGAGCAUUGGAGAGGGUAGCAGAAUUCAUGGUGUAGCAGUGAAAUGCGUAGAUAUCAGGAGGAACACCGGUGGCGAAGGCGCACAUCUGGCCCGAUACUGACGCUGAAGCGCGAAAGCUAGGGGAGCAAACGGG